rnacentral:tRNA from 1 species
GCGGACGUGGCGGAAUUGGUAGACGCACCAGAUUUAGGUUCUGGCGCCGAGAGGCGUCCGGGUUCGAGUCCCGGCGUCCGCACCA